rnacentral:misc_RNA from 1 species
CAUCAUUAUGCUUGUCUUGUGAUUUCCUGCUUUAAUUUAUGACUUUUUCUUAACGUGCAAAAUUCCUUUGAUAGCUUAGUGUCUUCCAACCGAAGGAAGUUCAUGCUAGUAGCACAACUUCUGGUUACUUAUAUUACUCUAGUCACUUGGAACUGACAGUUAUAGAGAUUUAAAAUGACAUUUAUAGGGGUUGAAGGUCAUAUAACCAUAGAACUAGGGAUUUUUUUUUUCUUUUAAUUUGG